AGCUACGGGCAUAUGGCACUGGCAAACAAGUGUUGAUGAGGGAGGGAGGCCUUACAUGGUGAUGAAGAGCCUAUCUCCCUUAGCCAAGAAUGACUUGCCUAUCUGUACUAUCUGGUUCAUCAGGGAGUGUCCUUAUGAUGGAUGGAAGGUGGAUGAUGGCAAGCAUUCUGGUUAAGCGAGUGAUUCUCUUCCACCAUGCUAGGCUCACCCUCUUUCUAAUUCUCCCUCUGCACGUCAAAGUUAGGUUAUGUGAUUUGGUUGCAAUUUUGCUAGCUCUUUCAUUGGUAACAAAAGCCAUCCAAUUCAUUAUGUUGCAGUAGAUAACAGUACAUUAUCUAUAUAAAUUGUUUGCUGGUUUUCUGCAGAUGACCUCAUCAGAACCAGCACUUCCAACAACAUAGCAGCCAGUGAGCUUAGCAAGCUGCUCGACAAUUUGACCAACGGCGCCUGCUGCCGCUGAAAUGAAGACACAGUCUCCUUUCUUAGCCUUGGCCACAUCAUAAAGUCCUACGUAAGCAGUAAGGCCGGGGAUAGCUGAAUGAUGGUUGUGGUUGUAGCAUACAGAUGAUAGAGUUUAUUUGGAUCAUAGGAGAAGCUUCUGAAGGAUUAAAGAUGACAUUCUGCUGGCGAUGCGCAAGAGCGAGAGCUGAAAAUCAACUCACCAAGAACACCUGUAUAGCAAGACAGAGGCAUUUCUGAGUGUUUGAUCUUUGAAAGGGACUCUGGAUUAGGGAUGCAGGUGAGUUCCUCCCAUCCGGUUCUUCCCCACACGAGAUCGCCUACCCUGAAAUCCGGGUGCCAGCUAGAACCUGAUUUUCUUUUUUUGGUCGAGUGAGACAACAAGAUUCUAAGGUCUUCAUUUUGUAAAAAAGAAAAAAAAUGCUGAAUGGGAGAAGACAGCGUUGAAGCUGAACA